CACGAAGUUAGCCGGUGCUUAUUCUUUGGGUACCGUCAUCCCAACCGGGUAUUAACCAGCUGGAUCUCUUUCCCAACAAAAGGGCUUUACAACCCGAAGGCCUUCUUCACCCACGCGGUAUGGCUGGAUCAGGCUUGCGCCCAUUGUCCAAUAUUCCCCACUGCUGCCUCCCGUAGGAGUCUGGACCGUGUCUCAGUUCCAGUGUGGCUGAUCAUCCUCUCAGACCAGCUACGGAUCGUCGCCUUGGUGGGCCUUUACCCCGCCAACUAGCUAAUCCGACAUCGGCUCAUUCAAUCGCGCAAGGUCCGAAGAUCCCCCUGCUUUCACCCGUAGGUCGUAUGCGGUAUUAGCGUAAGUUUCCCUACGUUAUCCCCCACGAAAAAGUAGAUUCCGAUGUAUUCCUCACCCGUCCGCCACUCGCCACCCAUAAGAGCAAGCUCUUACUGUGCUGCCGUUCGACUUGCAUGUGUUAGGCCUACCGCCAGCGUUCACUCUGAGCCAGGACUCAAACUCU
rnacentral:rRNA from 1 species